AAUCUAACCACACACCUACUGCUCUGGGAUUGGCCUUGUUUCUGGUGGUGCCCUAUUAAAGCAUCAUCAGUCUAGUACUGGUGAUAG